CACACACACAUACCAGUAGCCAAGGAGAGGGUGAGAGAAGGAGAGUGUGAUUAAAGGGAAGUAGAGAAGAAGAAGAAAAGAAAAGGAAGAAAAUGGUACCUUCUUGAGUCAAGAUAUGGGGGGUGUGUGUGUUUUUACUGGGCAUUCCAAGCUCAUGGCGUGCCAUGCCAAGUGAUGAAGCAGUUUACAAUGGUGAAGGUUAUUUUGAUGGCAAAUAUGAUGAAGUGUUGGAGCUGUGGUUCAUUUGAAGACUUAGAUUAGUUUUUUUUUUUUUUUUUCUUUUAACUUUUGGUUUGGCAAUGUUUUGGUAAUCCUGUAAUGGAACAUAAACGAAUUGCCUGUGAUAUUAACUCUGGUUAUAUAUGUAUAUUAAGAUGUUUUGGUUAUCUAUCCUACUUGUAUUGUAUUAUUGUACGUAUUUAACGGCCCAGAAGUUGGGGCGUUACAAGACAACUCCUACGACUCCUCAGCACGAUAGGACCAAGGAACAUUCUCACCGACCUUCAAGGGAGGUUGGAUGAGGAGAAUCAAGAAGGGGAGAUUCACAUAGGACACAUCGCACCAAGGAAGCUGAAACCAAAGAACAUCGACAUGUUCAGGAGAAGGACCUUUGUUUCGACGCGACAAAUGGA